GAAAUGCGAUAAGUAGUGUGAAUUGCAGAAUUCAGUGAAUCAUCGAAUCUUUGAACGCACAUUGCGCCCCUUGGGGUUCCAUGGGGCAUGCCUGUUCUAGCGUCAUUUGUACCCUCAAGCUUUGCUUGGUGUCGGGCGUCUUGUCCUCUUCUGGAGGACUCGCCUCAAAACAAUUGGCAGCCCGCAUAUUGGUAUCGGAGCGCAGCACAAGUCGCACUUCUUUCAAUGAAUGUUGGCAUCCAUCAAGACCAUUUUUUCCCUCUUGACCUCCGAUCAGGUAGGGAUCGCCGCUGAACUUAA
rnacentral:misc_RNA from 1 species